UAGAAGAUGACUCCUCACUUGGACUCUCAUGUUGAAGGAUAUAGGUUGACUUUUUGAAGUGACACUCAUUUGAAUAGUGUCCUCUUGCUCCACAUUUGAAACAUCUAGUCUCCUUACCCUUGGUAUCUCUAGGUGGCUCUCUUGAAGUCCUUUGUUCUUUUCCCUUGUAGCUUUCUUUGUCUCUUUUUAGCUCUCUAUCUUUGCCUUUGAGCUUGUCUUGUGGUCUUUCUCGCUCUCUCUCCUUUGUUUCGUCAUAUCUUGGAAAGCUACCCUCCCUCUU
rnacentral:lncRNA from 1 species